rnacentral:lncRNA from 1 species
GUUCAGGGUAUGGCUCUGGGGAAGGCUCUGGAUAUGGUGAGGCUGAUGGAGUGCUUGGGAGUGGCGUAGGUGGUGGAGGUGGCGGGGGAGGCGGUGGUGGUGGAGCAAACUCUGGAAGGGGUAGUGGCUCAGGAUAUGGUUCUGGGUAUGGCUCAGGGUAUGGAUCGGGUGGAGGAAUAGGAAGGGGUGGUGGUGGUGGAGGCGGAGGU